UACGUAGGGUGCAAGCGUUAAUCGGAAUUACUGGGCGUAAAGCGUGCGCAGGCGGUUUUGUAAGUCUGAUGUGAAAUCCCCGGGCUCAACCUGGGAAUUGCAUUGGAGACUGCAAGGCUAGAAUCUGGCAGAGGGGGGUAGAAUUCCACGUGUAGCAGUGAAAUGCGUAGAGAUGUGGAGGAACACCGGUGGCGAAGGCAGCCCCCUGGGUCAAGAUUGACGCUCAUGCACGAAAGCGUGGGGAGCAAACAGG
rnacentral:rRNA from 1 species